rnacentral:rRNA from 1 species
AGCGAACGCUGGCGGCAGGCCUAACACAUGCAAGUCGAACGAACUCUUCGGAGUUAGUGGCGGACGGGUGAGUAACACGUGGGAACGUGCCUUUAGGUUCGGAAUAACUCAGGGAAACUUGUGCUAAUACCGAAUGUGCCCUUCGGGGGAAAGAUUUAUCGCCUUUAGAGCGGCCCGCGUCUGAUUAGCUAGUUGGUGAGGUAAAGGCUCACCAAGGCGACGAUCAGUGGCUGGUCUGAGAGGAUGAUCAGCCACAUUGGGACUGAGACACGGCCCAAACUCCUACGGGAGGCAGAAGUGGGGAAUCUUGCGCAAUGGGCGAAAGCCUGACGCAGCCAUGCCGCGUGAAUGAUGAAGGUCUUAGGAUUGUAAAAUUCUUUCACCGGGGACGAUAAUGACGGUACCCGGAGAAGAGGCCCCGGCUAACUUCGUG